GGGUCAGUAGGUUGGUCGUGCCACCGGUACGUACUGGUCUCACUGACUCCUCCUUCCUGAAGAACCGUAAUGCCAUUAAUUUGGUGUUGCGGGGAAACAGGACUGUUACUUUGAAAAAAUUAGAGUGUUUAAAGCAAGCUAACGCUUGAAUACAUUAGCAUGGAAUAAUGAAAUAGGACGAUCGAUCCUAUUUUGUUGGUUUCUAGGAUUGACGUAAUGGUUAAUAGGGGUAGUUGGG
rnacentral:rRNA from 1 species